rnacentral:rRNA from 1 species
GUCGUAACAAGGUUUCCGUAGGUGAACCUGCGGAAGGAUCAUUCGCACAUAUUCCAUUGCUACCACUGUGCAUCGUUAUUGUGAGGAUCUGUGUGUAGAUGCAACGGUGCAUUGCCGUUCCUUCAUGCAGAUGCUCGCGGGCAGUGGGGCGUGUUGCCGACUUCAUGCCUGCUGCACGUUCUCACUGUCGUUGCCCACUCUACGGCGCCUCGGUGUCAUCGACUGCCAAUGGCUUCUGCCAUUUUUUUACUUACAACUUUCAGCGAUGGAUGUCUCGGUUCGAACAACGAUGAAGGGCGCAGCGAAGUGCGAUAAGCAUUGUGAAUUGCAGAAUUCCGUGAACCGACAGGGACUUGAACGCAUAUUGUGCUUUUGGGAUAUCCCCGAAAGCAUGCCUGCUUCAGUGUCUAUGCUUUCUUGUUCCAGCAGUUCUGCCACACCAGGCACUGCUGCUGCGAGUGCUUGUGCCUCAAGAUGCACAGAGAGAUUCUUGUAGUGCUCUUGAGGCAUGCAACUGACAAGGCUUCGGUACGAUUGCCAGCUUACUGAGUCUACCGACGAUGUUUGCUGCGUUGGUUGUAUGUGCAAUGCCCUGCCUCCUUUCGUUGAGCCUCAGGCGAGAGCUUGACGUUCGCUUUUACGACAUGAAGUUAGGUCAGCAAACCCGCUGAAUUUAAGCAUAUAAGUAAGCGGAGGAUAAGAAACUAAAUAGGAUUCCCUUAGUAAUGGCGAAUGAACAGGGAUGAGCUCAACAUGGAAAUCGUGGCCUCUGGCUUUGAAUUGUAAUCUCAAGAUGCAUCGCUAACGGGGGCGUAGGUGUAAGCCUCUUGGAAAAGAGAAUCAUUGAGGGUGAGAAUCCUGUUUGUCAUCUGCAGUCCCCCGUGCACGGCGUGCAUUCUACGAGUCGCGUUCCUCGGGAUUGGAGCGUAAACUGGGUGGUAAAUUUCAUCUCAAGCUAAACAUGGGUUUGAAACCGAUAGCAAACAAGUACCAUGAGGGAAAGAUGAAAAGGACUUUGAAAAGAGAGUUAAAAGUGCCUGAACUUGCUGAAAGGAAAGCGGAUGGAACCAGUGUUGCUUGGUGAGAUUGCCGCGCACCACGGUGAUUGCUUAUGUCAUCAGCGCAAGCGGUGGCGUGGGUUUUGAGCUGGCCGUGCGUGGUUGCUUCUCGCCUUGUGUGUCAUCGACAGUGUGGUGGUGGGGACAACUCUUGGGACAUGGUAGCUUGGGUCCGCCUGAGUGAAUGUGCUUUGUAGAACUCACUGCUAUACUGCUGCCUCAUUGUGAGGUUGCGCUGCUGCGCGCCACAUGUUCUCGCGUCUAUCGUGGGUUCGUUGGCUACGUGUGGCACCUUCCUGACAUGUCUUUGGUGACAAAAUGGUUCCAUUCGACCCGUCUUGAAACACGGACCAAGGAGUCUAACAUAUGUGCGAGUUCUUGGGUGGAGAAACCUACGUGCGCAAUGAAAGUGAUUAGUGAGAUUCUUGCAUCACCAGCCGACCGAUCAACUGGGAGAGGUUUGAGCAUGAGCAUAUCUGUUAGGACCCGAAAGAUGGUGAACUAUGCGUGA